CAUGGUUGCUGGACGUCCUCCUCCGGAAAAGACAUCCAUCUCCCUCCCUACAGCGAUGCUCCAUGGGCCUCGUCGUCAUUCCCGAGGCGCCCAAAAGUUCCAUCUGCAUGCAGCCGCGGUGCUGACCGGCGAGGCGGCGACGCUGACGGGGGCGAAGUUUGCUCGUACCGUAGGGCAUGGCUUCUGGGCUGUUUUUCGGAUCGUUUCCCUCGAGUUAACAGCAGAAGCCGACGCAAAUCAAGAUUUGAAAUUUGGAUACGCGAUAUUUUUAUGGUCCCAACAAAAAGAAAAAAAAACACACCGAAAUCCUAAAGAUCCAGCCGAAAUUCAGAGAACCCCGUACGGCUGUAGCCCAGGCCCAGCCCAGCAUCGUCCACGGGUUGGUUGGUAUCCUUUCCUCUCGUCUCCACGAGACCAACGCCGGGGCGGAGUCACGUUUUUUUUUUUUGUUUGUUGUCCCGCGCGCGGCGCCUGCUGGGUCUCCCUACAUCACAGUCAGUCACAGACGACAGCUGCAAAAAAUGACCGCACAUCAGAAUCGAAACCAACCCAUCAUAUCCCGCAGCUGUAUCCCAGCGACCUGGUCGCUGCCCACACAUGCCACAUCGCAAGUGCUGCAUGAAUGCCAUGCAGCAACGACGCACAAGCGCGCAGAUCGAGACAUGCAUCGCCGCCGCCGCCGCCGGCUGGCACGGGGCCGUUGGGCUUUUUAUCACCCAGUCACAUUCACGGCAGCGAGCGAACUGCAACAUUCUGGCUCUGCCAGCCGGUCCAGCUGCUCUACCGCACGGUUCGCACCGCGCGCGUACUGGAUCCAUUAGCCGCGCGCGCGCGCAUCUCUCGUGAUAUCUCUCUCUCUCUCUCUCCCUCUCUCGCCCGAGAGAUCCUCCUCGUCGGGUCCUACUCCUACCUCAUCAGUCCUCCGGUCCAUCUGCCCUCCUCCGGCACAAGGACGACGAUGCAGGUCACGCCGGCGGCGACCCUGCGGCCGGCGGCGGCGCACGCGUUGCGGCUGUCUACAGAUCACUGCAGGGAAGGGCCAAAGAUUAGGGUUCGGUUCGGAUCGAGGAAACUAUCGUGGACAGAAACACUUGAUGAUGCCACUAGUCUGACGAGAGCCACCGGAAGGCAACGCAGGCAUUCCUCAAUCCUCAAAGUGAGCUGCUGGGCAGCUGCUCAUCACCAACACAAUUCUAAUCCCCAGCACUUUAAGGCGACUGGCAUACGAAUCGCAAAGACGCUGCAUGCCUUCUAUCAGUUCUGCCGACCACACACAAUAUUUGGAACCAUAAUAGGCAUUACUUCGGUGUCUCUCCUGCCAGUGAAGAGCCUGGACGAUUUUACGUUGAUAGCUAUAUGGGGAUUUCUCGAGGCUUUGGUCGCCGCAUUAUGUAUGAACGUUUAUGUAGUAGGGCUGAACCAGAUAUUUGACAUUGAGAUUGACAAGGUCAAUAAGCCAACCCUCCCGUUGGCGUCCGGAGAGUUUUCGGUGCCAACUGCAGUAGUAUUAGUAGUGGCAUUCUUGGUCAUGAGCAUUAGCAUCGGAAUAAGAUCGAAGUCUGCUCCAUUGAUGUGUGCUUUGCUUGUUAGCUUCCUUCUUGGAAGCGCAUACUCCAUUGAUGUUCCAUUACUCCGGUGGAAGCGACAUGCUUUUCUAGCUGCAUUCUGUAUAAUCUUUGUGAGGGCUGUAGUGGUCCAGUUAGCUUUCUUUGCACACAUGCAGUGGUUGAUGGUGUUGUUUGCAGCAACACGUUCUGAAGAGGCCCUUGGCACCUACAAGAUCGGUGGUCUUUGCAACAUUUUUCAUGUGUUGCUUCGCUGCAGUAAUAGCGCUAUUCAAGGAUAUUCCUGAUGUCGAUGGAGAUAGAGAUUUCGGCAUUCAGUCCAUGACUGUACGAUUAGGCCAACAGAGAGUGCAUAGGCUCUGCAUUAACAUUCUCAUGACAGCAUACGCAGCUGCAAUUUUGGUAGGCGCAUCAUCUACAAACCUGUAUCAGAAGAUUGUCAUUGUGUCUGGUCAUGUCUUGCUUGCCUCCACACUCUGGCAAAGAGCACAACAAUUUGACAUUGAGAAUAAGGAUUGUAUCACACAAUUUUAUAUGUUCAUUUGGAAGUUAUUCUACGCUGAGUAUUUUCUUAUACCAUUUGUGUAGUAAAGAAUCAUGCGAAGAACAGCACCCGUGCUAUAGACAUGUGAAGGUUUAUUGCUAAUGUUACUCUACCGAAUGGUCUGAAUGCCUAUGCGUCAUUUGUAUGUAAUAUGACUAUUUGUUGUAUCAGGGUAACAACUGGAGCAAAUGUACCGUAUAUAUUAAGCAUUAAUUUAACUUUAUCAGUUAGUUGUGGGAAUA